ensembl:lncRNA
AUGAGCCAUUUUUCAAUUCCUGCAGAGAGAACCCUGUUAGGAACAGCUGGAAGGAACCAACUGCCAAUCCUCAACUGGCACAGAAAUUUCUGGAACUCCUUACUCCAACAUUCUGUCCUGUUGAAGAAUAAUCAUCGAAAAUAUCUUACCUAUUUCUUAAAUAUCUGCAAAGAUAAAAGAUUCUUCAGUUUUAAGACAAAUAUCAACUUUUUUUUUGCUCCAUUCAGAGGAAUAUUGCUUUGCAUAAUUGAUGCCACCAUUUAUACUGUGAUUGGAAGUGCUGGACAUGGAGUUGGGAUGACUUGUUUUCAAAUGCUGCAUCAGACUCCUAUUAGCUGUAUGAUCUUAGGUAAAGAAACUGAGGCAUACAGAGGUUGUGACUUCCAUCUA